GUCCAGCUGAGGAGUCCCAAAUAGGACGAAACACAUCCUAUAU
rnacentral:hammerhead_ribozyme from 1 species